rnacentral:lncRNA from 1 species
GUGUCCCAGUCAUAUUUAUUAUACUGAGUUGUCAUGAAGAGUUUUGUCUGAUAUUGAUUUCCAUAACUUAUCACCAGGGUUCUAUUGCUCAGCUUCCAUCUCCAGAAACAUCCCCAGUCAACAAUGUCCCAUGUCAGAGCAACCUUAUCCACCUGUAAAUGCUGCAGCCAGCCCAGAAGAAUGCCAGUUACUUCUUUUCUGCUAUAUUGACGUCAGUUUUUUAGAGAUUCAGCGGACCUGGAGCGUGGCCUUCAUGCAGGGUAGGUGACCCCCAGAUUGGGGCUUAGCUCAGGAAAAGUUUUUGGCUUCACAUAGGGAAGAAUUCAACAGUGAGCAGGUAGUGUAAGAAAACAAAUUGAUUGAAGUGGCAGUGUUACAGCUCCAGCUACAGUGUUACAGCUCUGGCUACAGCUCUGUUACUGCUCCUGAAGGACUACCCAAGAGGCAGUGGGCUGAGAGUAGCAGCUCAGAGGCAAUUCUGGAGUCAUAUUUUUACCCACUUUUAAUUACAGAAAAUCUCUUGAGCAGGGGUUGGCUUCUCUUCAAAUAUUCCGUGAGAAGAAUAUGCUAAUACUGUUUUGACCCAUAAUGUAGAAUCAGUGGAAACCCUGAGCUUGUUUGCCUUCAAUUAGACGAUCCUACCUGGUUUCCUGCCAAAGAUGAAGAUGAAACAUUUCCAUGAGUAGGCAAUUCAGUCUGAGUGUGUCUCAUGUUAUUUUCAGAUGAGGAGACUCCAUGUGCAUGGUUGCAGCAGGCAUUCUUGGGAGCUCAUGAGCUGAAUUUCAGGAAAAGCCCAAGAAGAUUCCACAUUUCCCUCAGGAUAUCCUCAGGAAAAUGUCUGCAGGCCUGGAAACACUUAGCCAUCCCUGUGUGCUUCCUCUGGGUCCCGGGGAUGGCAAGUGGGAGCUGUACCUUAAUGACCACAGUCCUUUGACUGAUCCUUUGACUGAUCUCUUCAGCUGGCCAAUGUCCAUUUGCUUCCUUUGGAGGCCUAUCAUGCAUCUAUAUUGCAGAUUGUACGAUCCACUGGACCCAGCAACAGAUAAGUGAAGGGUUAGACACCCAGAGAUAGUCUCUUAGCUCAGGAUGCCCAACAAAAUGUGAUAGCCUGGGGAGCUUAGACCACAGACGUUUAUUGCUCACAGUUCUGAAGGUUGGAGGUCCAAGAUCAAAGCAUGGUAGAUUCAGCGUCUGGUGAGGACUUGGUUCUUGGUUCGUAGUCAGUGCCUCCUUGCUGGGUCCUCACAUGGUGAACAGCAUGGGAUGGCCAGAGAGAGGGAGGGAAGGAGGGAGGAGGGGAGAGAGAGAGAGAGAAAG